rnacentral:rRNA from 1 species
ACUGAACGCUGGCGACAGGCCUAACACAUGCAAGUCGAGCGGAUGACGGGAGCUUGCUCCUCGAUUCAGCGGCGGACGGGUGAGUAAUACCUAGGAAUCUGCCUGAUAGUGGGGGACAACGUUUCGAAAGGAACGCUAAUACCGCAUACGUCCUACGGGAGAAAGCAGGGGACCUUCGGGCCUUGCGCUAUCAGAUGAGCCUAGGUCGGAUUAGCUAGUUGGUGAGGUAAUGGCUCACCAAGGCGACGAUCCGUAACUGGUCUGAGAGGAUGAUCAGUCACACUGGAACUGAGACACGGUCCAGACUCCUACGGGAGUCAGCAGUGGGGAAUAUUGGACAAUGGGCGAAAGCCUGAUCCAGCCAUGCCGCGUGUGUGAAGAAGGUCUUCGGAUUGUAAAGCACUUUAAGUUGGGAGGAAGGGCAGUAAGCUAAUACCUUGCUGUUUUGACGUUACCGACAGAAUAAGCACCGGCUAACUCUGUGCCAGCCGCCGCCGUAAGAC